CAGCUCUGUCCACAGCCUCUCGACACUUCUGCUCGAAGGAGCCUUCUCCCGGCUGAGGUGACCUCCAGUGGCCUUUGUCUCCUCGGUAGGGGCAGGGAAGGGCCACCCGGCGUCCAGCCCACCCCAGCUGCCCUGAGGGUGACCCUCGCUCUGCCUCGAGGGGGUGGCCCCCAUCACACCGUCCAGAAUAAUACAUUAUGAGGAGCAGAAGAGAAAUGGUGCCAUGGAGUGGCCCUGAAGUUGGGUCACCUCUGUGAGCUCUGAUCCCGGGAGGACCAGCGGCCCCUGCCCGAGACACAGUCUCCACCCUGUCCUUUCCAAGGGCCAUCUACCCGGCCAAGAGGCCAAGGAAGCCGAGGCAGGCAGGCCCAAGGAGACUGAGCUGUGGCGUGGGGCUUUGGGAGGCCAGCCCAUCUGGAUCUACUGGAUGAAGACUCCAUCCCCUCGCCCCACGGUCCCCAUGGGGGACGCCCCGCACGCUCCUCAGGGAGGGCAGCCACUCAGCCUGAGGCUCCAGUCCCACCACGCUGCUCCUCCAGAGCCCGAGCGGGCGCUGCACAGUCAGAACCCUUUUCACCAGCGCUGUCACGAGGGCCCAGAGGGAAGGAAAAGCCCUAACCCCUCGCCCAGGCCUGCGGCACUAGUUUUCAACUCUUCAGGAAGCCAGCUUGCCAGAGUUGGGGAGAUUUCGGAGAAACACAUCAGCCCCACCCAGAACCAAGUGGUGGGAGACCUGGAGGGUCAGGGCAUUUGUGCCCCGACGGGGACCUGAAGCCCGGUGGACACUGGGAACCACUGUCCACUCGACCUUGCUGCCAUCCGCUGCUUCUGUUCUCUCAGCCGCUGGCUCUGUGUGGAUCCUGACCAGCAGCUGCUGCCUCCCCGAGAACUUGUCAGAAAAGCAGACUCUCAGGCCCAGCUGCCCCUGUGGAGCCCUAAGUCUGGGGUGGGCCCGGCCAUCUCCGGGCCUCGCUGGUGGUUCUGCUGCAGGCUAACAUCUUCCUGCCGACUGUGACACACACGCGCUUGCUCCAGCCUCUGCGCUCGCUCCUCAGGUCCCAGCUGAGCAGUUGCUCUUGGGCACCCCUAGCCCUCUCCUGCUGGCCAGCUCAGGUGCCGGGGAGUCGGCAUCUUGAAGCUUUGCCUGGGCUGGAUGGAGAAGCUCCAGUCUUCGCCUUCACCUUGGACGCCACCUCCUGGCUUCCAGUGCAGGCUCUUCAGCUUCCAGCGUAGACCAUCGGCCUCCUGAUACUGACUUGCACGGGACACUGCAGUGAGCUCCAGACCUUCCACUGAAUCAUCGGUUCAACUUUAGCUGAGUGAAUCUGAGGGAGGUUCUCAGGAGAUAAGGCAACCUUAACACAAUUCUUUGCUUUCUACUUAACUUACCAUUUAUCAUUGCAACAUUAACCAUAAUUCACCUCCUCCGACUCUGUGGAUGGCCACUGUAAGCCAA
rnacentral:lncRNA from 1 species